rnacentral:lncRNA from 1 species
GACGAAAGGUUUUGAACUGAGAAAGGAAGCACUUUUCUAAAAAGCUGGUGGUUGGAUCAUCAAAGGAACAGAAUGAACAAGGGCCCCCAAGUCACUGUGUGCACAGCAGGUCAGGGAGAAAGGGGUCUGGAAGGACGUGCCAGCUGCUGACAGCUGUCACAUCCUGGGCUGGCAGGUGCAGGGGGGAAGGACGGUCACUGCACACCCGAGUCUGCCUGCCCAUGAUCGGACUCCUUCACAACCAGCAAGCGUUACAUUUACAAUUAGAAACAAGUUAAGAUUUUUUAUUAAUACUUAUUA